CCUCAGUUUAGUUUUUUUUUUGUAUUUAUUAUUCGUUUCUAGCUGUGGAUUGAUGGUACUGGAACACGAAUUUAGAAGUAUGCCUAUUCAGAUGUAUUGUGUGCUACAUCGAUCUACUUUCCUCAAUAUAUGCCGCUGGACAAAUAGUAUCCCGUGCAGUCUUCACUAUUGGCUUAAGUAUCAUGGAAGGAGUGUUCUAUUUUUUCCACACAGUUUAUUGCACAUUCAGAUUUAACCUUCACAGUACUAUCCAUAUGCUUCAUGUUUGUUUACAGUAAAAGUUUGACUACUGAAAUCUCCAUGUGUGUUUACAGUAAAUAUUUGGGUACUGAAAUCUCCAUGUCUGUUUACAGUAAGCAUAUGGAUAGUAAAGCUGUUUAAAAAUGUUGUUGUCGUCUAUACCUUUUGUUGUUUCCGAACGGUGACUGUGUACGGUUGUUGUAUCGCCUAAAGCAGGCCGAACCAGUACUCCUGUCAAAAUAAGUUCAUGAUCAAUGUUACAUUAUUUCCAGUACAAGUAUAUACCCAAAAUUUAUUGAUUUCAUUAUUUAGGAUAUGUAAAUAGUAUUGUUUAGUUGUGCAUUUUCAGGGUUGGGAGAUUUGACGAAAAAUGAUAUAGUACAUGGCUAGACUGUCUAGGACUCCAACUAUACAUACAUGUAACUUCUACCUGGUACAAACUCAGCCCUACGCCAAGUAUAUAAUUGGCUACCGUAUAUUUAACCCUUGACAUAGGACAUAUAAAUGAUGUUGACCAGAGGUGGUGUAUUUCUUAUUUGCACACUGACUAAGUGUGCAAAAUAAUCAUUUACCGACUCCCUACUGCUAAUGGGGAAAGCUUCUAUUCAUGCAUCGCAUUAUUCAUGCACAUCGAAAGCAUUCUUCCAAGUACUCUCCUCAUUGUGGUACUGAAAGGGCAUCUACAGAGUUGUCAUUCGGUCUUCAGUUUAGAUUAGUGAUACCUGUAGGCUGUAGCUACCUUUUUCUUCUUCUGAUGGUAUUGUUUCCAGCUUCAUUAUACUGUAAUGUUUUCUCCCCCUAUAUUUGGCUACAGGACUGCACCUGUUGCUUCUGACAUAUUACCUCGCAACAACGAUGGCAUAGAAGUGAUGCAGACAUCCUGGCACCCUUUUAGCAGCAGCCAUUUUGGGGUUACUGACAAGGGUUCUGUUCAUAUACCUCUAUUAUGUAUAUCAGAGCCAUUCAUUUAGUAUUUAGGUAAUCAUGUCAGUGUUCUUGUGUCAUAUAACUCUUCCACAAUUUAGGUAACCAAUCAUGCUGCUGCACAACAAUCUCACUUGAAAUAUUCGAUCUGUAUUCAUACAUGUUCUGUGGUUGCUUUUAUGUUAGAAUAAGUCAAUUGAUGGGGGAGAGAUCAGGAGCUGACUCAGAGCAUAACUACUGAAUGAACUUGAUACUACACCACAUGCAAAUGAAUGAGCCUUUUAAAAUAUUUCUAACCUGAUGUGAAACUCAAAUGAAUGUAUGGAAGUAUCAGUUCUUAUUAUUCUGUAGGUACAAUAUCUGCAUUAAGUAAUGCAAUUAAUCUUAGUGCAGAUCGCUCAACAGAUUAGCAGCAGGUGAAGUGAUAGACCAAGCAAAAUUGUCAUAGAGGUAUUUGUCAACAUAUUUUUAUUUGAAAGUAACAGAUUUGGUCCAUCUACUUUUUUAGAGGAAACGAAACAAGUGACCAAAUAUAUGUCGGUUCAGAAAUCACUCCAGAUGUGAGGUGCGACAUCACCCCCAGCCCAUCCAUUCAUGCUUGUUUACAGUAAAAUCUUCAUGUUUGUUUGCACGAAUAUUACACAUUGGAAGCCACAGAUCAACAAAAAGAGUCGAUUAUGAAAUACCUUCAGUUAAAGUGGUGAAAUGUGAUUGUCUAUUUGCAGCACGCCGAGGAUUGGUAUCUCCAGGAUCUAUUAACCAGUUUGGAUAUGUAAUACAAAUGAGGAAAAUGAGGUUGUAUUAGGCGUAUGAACUGUAUUCUUUGGUACGAAACCUGAAUUUUCGUUUUGCA